rnacentral:tRNA from 1 species
CCCUGGGUGGCUCAGUUGGCUAAGCGUCUGACUUUGGCUCAGGUCAUGAUGUCGUGGUUCAUGGGUUCGAGCCCCAUGUCAGGCU